AGAGUGAUGAACUGUAUAUUGAUUUAAAACGGAGCACAACAGUUACCAAAAUGUCCUGGAGCGACUGACAUGGCACACCCCCCCGGGUCGCUGGACAAGUCUACGAAAUCUAACAACAGCAGAUCUGAAGUCACUUAAACAUGCCGAUGGAGAUUUCUGACGUCUCGGCGGUGUGUGGAAAUCGCGACAGGACAGGACUCGGUGAAGACGGAACAACACACAAGAAGGCAAGAAGGGACAGAACAAAAGGAGAGUUUCCCCGACCACGCUUCUGAGCUUUAAAGAGGAGGUUAGGAGGUCAGACCACACGGGCAACACGAUGUCCAUAAAUGGCUUCCAUUCGUCCGGCCGUCACCCUGGCAGAGAGGUCUGAUUGGUUGCCCGUCACAGACUGGAGGACUGGGCGGGAUGGUAGGGUCCAUUCACCUGAGUUGGAGAAGACAGAAAUCAUCACGUGCACUAAAAUCCCCUAAGAUCAUCUGUCAGCUCAGCACAGAGGGUGCGACAUCGACAUCACUGGAAUUCCUGUCUGACUUUCUGUAAGUGUGGCUCUUUUCUUUUCCUGCUCAGCCAUGGAGAUGCUUAUCACUGCUUCCUGUAACCAUGUUGUAUUAUGUCUUCACAAAUUUAUGUGUUAACUGGUAAAUAUUUUUCCAAGAAAAGGCCGAGCCAUGCUUCAGUGGUGAAAUAGUCAGUGAGUCCGAAAUUUUGAUAAUCGUCCAUUUAAAUCAUUUAUAAAGGACAAAUGCCAAACAUUCACUGGUUACUGCUUCUCAGUGGUGAAGGUUUGUUGCUUCUCACCAUUUUGUUUGUUUGUCUGUAAAUCGUAUGUCUUUGAGUUUUGGUCUGUUGGUGAGACAGAAGAAAUUUCAACAUUUCCUCCUACUUUCUGACAUUUUAUAGACUAAAGGAAUUACCGAUUGAUCGUAAAAAUAACUGACAGUUAAAUAGCUGAUACUGAAAAGUGGCUGCGUGUUUAGACCAGCAGAUGGAAACUCUGAUUAAUGGAGGUCAAAUCCCUGAUGUGUUAUGGCAAAAAUGUUAUUUAUUAUUAUUUAUCUGAGGAUGAUGUAAGUGUAAGCUGACUGCAUCUGCAACACUGGUCACGUUGCUAUGAUAUAAUGACAGAAUCACGCAAUCUCUCAAAUAUCACUUUGGCGCAUGCCAAAAUAUUAGCUAUGUAUUCCAAAUUAUUAGUAAUAGCUGUGCAAACUUAACAACCCUCAAAAUUCCUGUGAGGGAUUUUAUGUGAGAAGCUCUACAACAUGACUUCUUGGUUCUGCGGUAAAUGAGAAGUUACUGUUUUCUAUUCCUUAUUCAUCCUUUACUCCUGUCAUUCCUGUAGCACGACCAUGAGAAACAAACCUUUUGGCUGUAUAUGAAAAAAAAAAAAAAACAUGAAAAAAUUAUUAUUGUAUUCAGGUCUUCCUGCACCCUUUAUAUUUAACGUCUUUGUCUUGAUGCUUUUACAUGUUUUGUUAAACAAGUUCUGCUUUCACCUGCAUCUGGCUUGAACUACACAAAAAGUACUAAACCGAUUGGCACUAAACCCGGUGGAGGGAUGGGGCAUGGGCCAAGGGAGAACCCAUUAAAUUUUGGUAGUGAAUCCGGCUAAUUCCUGAGGAAAUAAUGUCUGGAUCCUGAUGUAAAAACUCAGACAUAUUUAUGGUGUUAAGAUCUAUGAGUUUGUUCGAUUUGGUGUAGAACAUGAUAAAAACCUGGAUCUGGUGGAAGAAAAUGCUGAG